CCUGCUCAGAUUGAACGCUGGCGGCAGGCCUAACACAUGCAAGUCGAGCGGUAACAGGGGUAGCUUGCUACCCGCUGACGAGCGGCGGACGGGUGAGUAAUGCUUAGGAAUCUGCCUGGUAGAGGGGGAUAGCCCGGGGAAACCCGGAUUAAUACCGCAUACGCCCUACGGGGGAAAGCAGGGGAUCUUCGGACCUUGCGCUAUCAGAUGAGCCUGCGUCGGAUUAGCUAGUUGGUGGGGUAAAGGCCCACCAAGGCGACGAUCCGUAACUGGUCUGAGAGGAUGAUCAGCCACACUGGGACUGAGGCACGGCCCAGACUCCUACGGGAGGCAGCAGUGGGGAAUAUUGGACAAUGGGCGAAAGCCUGAUCCAGCAAUGCCGCGUGGGUGAAGAAGGCCUUAGGGUUGUAAACCCCUUUCACC
rnacentral:rRNA from 1 species